rnacentral:rRNA from 1 species
GUCUUCGGACUUUGAGACCGGCGCACGGGUGCGUAACGCGUAUGCAAUCUACCUUUUACAGAGGGAUAGCCCAGAGAAAUUUGGAUUAAUACCUCAUAGUAUAAUGACCUGGCAUCAGGAUGUUAUUAAAGUCACAACGGUAAAAGAUGAGCAUGCGUCCCAUUAGCUAGUUGGUAAGGUAACGGCUUACCAAGGCUACGAUGGGUAGGGGUCCUGAGAGGGAGAUCCCCCACACUGGUACUGAGACACGGACCAGACUCCUACGGGAGGCAGCAGUGAGGAAUAUUGGACAAUGGGCGCAAGCCUGAUCCAGCCAUGCCGCGUGCAGGAUGACGGUCCUAUGGAUUGUAAACUGCUUUUAUACGAGAAGAAACACUCCAACGUGUUGGAGCUUGACGGUAUCGUAAGAAUAAGGAUCGGCUAACUCCGUGCCAGCAGCCGCGGUAAUACGGAGGAUCCAAGCGUUAUCCGGAAUCAUUGGGUUUAAAGGGUCCGUAGGCGGUUUGGUAAGUCAGUGGUGAAAGCCCAUCGCUCAACGGUGGAACGGCCAUUGAUACUGCCAGACUUGAAUUAUUAGGAAGUAACUAGAAUAUGUAGUGUAGCGGUGAAAUGCUUAGAGAUUACAUGGAAUACCAAUUGCGAAGGCAGGUUACUACUAAUGGAUUGACGCUGAUGGACGAAAGCGUGGGUAGCGAACAGGAUUAGAUACCCCUGGUAGUCCACGCCGUAAACGAUGGAUACUAGCUGUUGGGAGCAAUUUCAGUGGCUAAGCCGAAAGUGAUAAGUAUCCCACCUGGGG